GUGAGGAAUUUUCCGCAAUGGGCGAAAGCCUGACGGAGCAAUGCCGCGUGAAGGAUGAAGGCCUAUGGGUUGUAAACUUCUUUUCUUAGAGAAGAAUAUUGACGGUAUCUGAGGAAUAAGCAUCGGCUAACUCUGUGCCAGCAGCCGCGGUAAGACGGAGGAUGCAAGCGUUAUCCGGAAUGAUUGGGCGUAAAGCGUCUGUAGGUGGCUUCAAAAGUCUCCUGUCAAAGAUCAGGGCUUAACCCUGGGCCGGCAGGAGAAACUCUGAGGCUAGAGUUUGGUAGGGGCAGAGGGAAUUCCCGGUGGAGCGGUGAAAUGCGUAGAGAUCGGGAGGAACACCAAAGGCGAAAGCACUCUGCUGGGCCACAACUGACACUGAGAGACGAAAGCGAGGGGAGCAAAAGGGAUUAGAUACCCGGGUAGUCC
rnacentral:rRNA from 1 species